GACGAAGGAUGCAAGCGUUAUCCGGAUUCAUUGGGUUUAAAGGGUGCGUAGGCGGCCCUGUAAGUCAGUGCUGAAAUAUCCCGGCUUAACCGGGAGGGUGGCAUUGAUACUGCAGGGCUUGAGUGAAGUCGAGGUAGGCGGAAUUGACGGUGUAGCGGUGAAAUGCUUAAGAUAUCGUCAAGAACACCGAUAGUGAAGACAGCUUACUAGGCUUAUACUGACGCUGAGGCACGAAAGUGUGGGGAUCAAACAGG
rnacentral:rRNA from 1 species